GAGGGAAGUCCACCAGUAAAGGCGGGUGCGCCUUUACUGGUGGACUUCCCUCCCCCUCGUUAGU
rnacentral:pre_miRNA from 1 species